rnacentral:rRNA from 1 species
UACGGAGGAUGCGAGCGUUAUCCGGAAUCAUUGGGUUUAAAGGGUGCGUAGGCUGGUAUUUAAGUCAGUGGUGAAAAUUUUCGUGCUUAACAUGAGAGCUGCCAUUGAUACUGGGUACCUAGAGUGUAUUUGAUGUGGGCGGAAUGUGUUGUGUAGCGGUGAAAUGCUUAGAUAUGACACAGAACACCGAUAGCGAAGGCAGCUCACAAAGUUACAACUGACGCUGAUGCACGAAAGCGUGGGGAUCAAACAGG